rnacentral:rRNA from 1 species
UACAGAGGGUGCGAGCGUUGUCCGGAAUCACUGGGCGUAAAGGGCGCGUAGGCGGUCUUGUAAGCGUGUGGUGAAAGCCCGGGGCUCAACUCCGGGUCGGCCGUGCGAACUGGGGGACUGGAGCUUGUCAGAGGCAGGCGGAAUUCCGGGUGUAGCGGUGGAAUGCGUAGAGAUCCGGAAGAACACCGGUGGCGAAGGCGGCCUGCUGGGACAGUGCUGACGCUGAGGCGCGACAGCGUGGGGAGCAAACAGG